CAUAAACUUUAGGGGUGUUCCGCCGCGCGGGACUGAGAAAUACCCUUGGAACCUGAUCCAGGUAAUGCUGGCGAAGGGAAAAGUGAGAAGCGAGAG
rnacentral:ncRNA from 2 species